rnacentral:rRNA from 1 species
AUACGGAGGGUGCAAGCGUUGUUCGGAAUUACUGGGCGUAAAGCGCGUGCAGGCGGUAAGGUAAGUCAGAUGUGAAAGCCCCGGGCUCAACCCGGGAAGUGCAUUUGAUACUGCCUUUCUUGAGUAUGCGAGAGGAGAGUGGAAUUCCCAGUGUAGAGGUGAAAUUCGUAGAUAUUGGGAGGAACACCCGUGGCGAAGGCGACUCUCUGGACCAAUACUGACGCUGAGACGCGAAAGCGUGGGGAGCGAACAGAAUUAGAUACCCCAGUAGUCC